rnacentral:rRNA from 1 species
CAGCAGCCGCGGGAAUACGAAGGGUGCAAGCGUUAAUCGGAAUUACUGGGCGUAAAGCGUGCGUAGGCGGUGAGUUAAGUCUGCUGUGAAAUCCCCGGGCUCAACCUGGGAAUGGCAAUGGAUACUGGCAAGCUAGAGUGUGUCAGAGGAUGGUGGAAUUCCCGGUGUAGCGGUGAAAUGCGUAGAGAUCGGGAGGAACAUCAGUGGCGAAGGCGGCCAUCUGGGACAACACUGACGCUGAGGCACGAAAGCGUGGGGAGCAAACAGGAUUAGAUACCCCCGUAGUCCCUGUCUCUUAUAA